CCGAUUCUGCCAUGUAAAUUUCAGAUUUUGGAACUAAGUUUUUUAAUUCCAAUUUCCGAAAUUCUGAUUUUUUUUUUUCAGAACGCAAUUGGUAUUGGUUUUCGUCUUCCGAUUUUUUUUUUUUGGAAUUUUCCCUAAAGCGCUACUUCCAGUCCAUCCGGUCUGAAUGGAGUAGUACACUUUCUUUUUUUUCAAUUUCAAUUUAAAAUUUUAUUUUCAUAGUAUGAAUGAAUAAUGUGUUACUCAACAAAUGAAGGUAAAACAUCGAGCGGUAGAACUUUCAAAAGCAAUGGAAAACGAAGACGGUGUAACGGGUGCAGUGCAAGCUUUCUAUAAACAUUUCCCGCUCAAAAGCCUAAAACCCGAGCCUGAAAAUUCACAUUCUUCGUCGAGUUUUUUUUCUUUCAGACACUGCUUUGGUUGUUCGAAAUCUUGACUUUUUCUUGUUGCUGAUUUUUCACUUUUGACAAUUUCUUACGAAUUGUUCGUUUCCGAUCGACUUGUGAAUGUAUAUAUAUGUAUGUAUGUAUAUUGUAUACAAGCUUUCUUGUAGUAGCUUCUUACCGAGAAUGUUUUGCCACUUUCCCCCCCUUCUUUUUUGCUAACAAAAUCAGAGAACUUAAUGGUGAUGAUUACCAGUGACGGGGUCAACAUAGGGCCGGGACCAG
rnacentral:lncRNA from 1 species